rnacentral:rRNA from 1 species
GGGUCAGUAGGUUGGUCGUGCCACCGGUACGUACUGGUCUCACUGAUUCCUCCUUCCUGAAGAACCGUAAUGCCAUUAAUUUGGUGUUGCGGGGAAACAGGACUGUUACUUUGAAAAGAUUAGAGUGUUUAAAGCAGGCUAACGCUUGAAUACAUUAGCAUGGAAUAAUGAAAUAGGACGAUCGAUCCUAUUUUGUUGGUUUCUAGGAUUGACGUA